rnacentral:lncRNA from 1 species
UGCCAAGCAAAGAUAUGGUUGCUGCUAGCUUGUUUAUGUUUGAAAUGUGUUUUCUGGUGCAGUAAGAGAAGGCUGCACCAUUUCUUUGGGAUUAUUUGUGCCCUUUAAAAUGAGCCUUAUUAGGAGAAGAAGGGCAUGAAGUGCUGUCAAAUUUCCAGAGCUUUAUAGAAAAGUGCAUAUAUACUUUAAGAGACAUAAUGUCCCAGACUAAACUGGAAUUGUGAGGAGCUCCUCAACAUAAAGACUGGGUUUGGGUCAUAUUUUAGAGUUGUUUCCCUGCAACAAUCGGGUGUUAUUCCCACAGAACUUCCUGGCUGUCCUUGGCUCUGCCUUGAAAGAAAACACACCCUCCAUGAGGAAGAGAUGCAAGAGUAAACAUUUGGCAGGGAUAUGUUCUAUUUCGACCUGCUCCCUCUGCGCAGUCAAGGAUUUUAUUUUAUCAAAGUGAAUCCCAGUAUCUGAAAAUCCUGGAUAAGGAAGAGAGACUGCAGCCAGCACUUGCUUCUGUUGCUAGACCAUUUCACAGCUUCUUUCAUAUGCUGUGCACUUAUGGAAGAAGGCUGAGGAAAACACAUGUGCCUAGCACAGAUUUCAGACUUCUGGACAUCAGGUUGAGACCUCAAGGUCUUCUCAUCAGCAAGAAUGAAUUCCCUGCACUCUGAAGUCUUUCACGAGCGAUUCUCUCUCCCCUGCUGUAUGUGCCACUCUCUUAUCCCCAAGCAUGUGUCAAUUUUGCUUCUAUCUGAAGUUCAGUGAGAUAUUUUUCUGGUGGUUAGCUGAGAUCUCUUUGCAGCAGCCAUGCAAAAUUUUUCAGAACUGACAUGAGGUGUCACAACUGUGGCAGUGUUGCAUCUGCCCUGGGGGACAUGGAAAAAGAUUGGUUCGUGGGAACAUCUGAAUCAGGACUGAGGCAUUAAGAGUUCAGUCUGUGGAUUGUCCCAAGUCCUAAAACUAUAGGGGAAACAGAUAUAUCUUUGAUUUGAGACCUACCACUGCAGCUAGAAAUUGAAUCUGCCUGUAGUAAAACAGCACAGUGUGGAUUAGGAAAUUACUCUUUUGCAUUAUAUAUAGAUACAGGAGGGGCAGGGAGAGGCACAAAAGAAAUACCCACCAUUGGUGAUUGCCAGGCAUGGAUGGCAUUACAAAAUAGGAGGAAAAUGGAGCUCCUGAAAGUGGCUUUCCAUGUCUGAGUUUUUCUUGGGACUGUGGCACCAUGCAGAUUUGCUAACCCUGAGAUAGAAAUACCAGACCUUAUAUAUGGCAUGCUUACAAAGGACACUGUGGUACACACUACAGACAAACUACUCUGCAACAAAGAAAAGCUUUGUGCUGACUCAAC